rnacentral:rRNA from 1 species
UACGGAGGGUGCAAGCGUUAUCCGGAUUCACUGGGUUUAAAGGGUGCGUAGGCGGACAGGUAAGUCAGUGGUGAAAUCUCCGGGCUUAACCCGGAAACUGCCGUUGAUACUAUUUGUCUUGAAUAUUGUGGAGGUAAGCGGAAUAUGUCAUGUAGCGGUGAAAUGCUUAGAUAUGACAUAGAACACCAAUUGCGAAGGCAGCUUACUACACAACGAUUGACGCUGAGGCACGAAAGCGUGGGGAGCAAACAGG